rnacentral:rRNA from 2 species
UUCGCAAUGCCCGAAAGGGUGACGAAGCGACGCCGCGUGGGUGAAGAAGGCCUUCGGGUUGUAAAGCCCUGUCAGGAGUUAUGAAAUAUAAGUGCGCUAAUAUCGUGCUUAUUUGACAAAGGCUCCAAAGGAAGCCACGGCUAACUCUGUGCCAGCAGCCGCGGUAAUACAGAGGUGGCGAGCGUUGUUCGGAAUUAUUGGGCGUAAAGAGCACGUAGGUGGGUUUGCAAGUCAGAUGUGAAAGCCUUCUGUUCAACGGAAGAAUUGCAUCUGAAACUGCUGAUCUUGAGUAUAGGAGGGGAGAAUGGAACUUCUGGUGGAGCGGUGAAAUGCGUAGAUAUCAGAAGGAACGCCGGCGGCGAAAGCGAUUCUCUGGCCUAUUACUGACACUCAGUGUGCGAAAGCUAGGGGAGCAAACGGGAUUAGAUACCCCGGUAGUCCUAGCCGUAAACGAUGGGCACUAAGUAGAGGGGUUUU